rnacentral:misc_RNA from 1 species
GAUGAAGAACGUAGCGAAAUGCGAUAAGUAGUGUGAAUUGCAGAAUUCAGUGAAUCAUCGAAUCUUUGAACGCACAUUGCGCCCCUUGGUAUUCCAUGGGGCAUGCCUGUUCGAGCGGCAUUUGUACCUUCAAGCUUUGCUUGGUGUUGGGUGUUUGUCUCGCCUUUGCGUGUAGACUCGCCUUAAAAUAAUUGGCAGCCGGCGUAUUGAUUUCGGAGCGCAGUACAUCUCGCGCUUUGCACUCAUAACGACAGCGUCCAAAAGUACAUUUUACACUCUUGACCUCGGAUCAGGUAGGGAUACCCGCUGAACUUAAGCAUAUCAAUAAGCGGAGGA